rnacentral:rRNA from 1 species
AGAGUUUGAUCAUGGCUCAGGAUGAACGCUAGCGGCAGGCUUAAUACAUGCAAGUCGAGGGGCAGCAUGAGUGUAGCAAUACAUUUGAUGGCGACCGGCAAACGGGUGCGGAACACGUACACAACCUUCCUUCGAGCGGGGAAUAGCCCAGAGAAAUUUGGAUUAAUACCCCAUAGUAUCCCGGGGCGGCAUCGCUUCGGGAUUAAAGAUUUAUCACUUGAAGAUGGGUGUGCGGCUGAUUAGGUAGUUGGCGGGGUAACGGCCCACCAAGCCUGCGAUCAGUAACUGGUGUGAGAGCACGACCAGUCACACGGGCACUGAGACGCGGGCCCGACUCCUACGGGAGGCAGCAGUAAGGAAUAUUGGUCAAUGGACGAAAGUCUGAACCAGCCAUGCCGCGUGGAGGAUGAAGGCCCUCUGGGUUGUAAACUUCUUUUAUCUGGGAAGAAAAAAGGGAAUUCUUUCCCGUCUGACGGUACCAGAUGAAUAAGCACCGGCUAACUCCGUGCCAGCAGCCGCGGUAAUACGGAGGGUGCAAGCGUUAUCCGGAUUUACUGGGUUUAAAGGGUGCGUAGGUGGGUUGGUAAGUCCGUGGUGAAAUCUCCAAGCUUAACUUGGAAACUGCCAUGGAUACUAUCAGUCUUGAAUACCGUGGAGGUCAGCGGAAUAUGUCAUGUAGCGGUGAAAUGCUUAGAUAUGACAUAGAACACCAAUUGCGAAGGCAGCUGACUACACGAAUAUUGACACUGAGGCACGAAAGCGUGGGGAUCAAACAGGAUUAGAUACCCUAGUAGUCC